rfam:Ictidomys tridecemlineatus contig005668, whole genome shotgun sequence.
GGGGAUAUGGAUCAGUGGUAGAGCUCUUGCCUAGUAUGCAGGCGGCCUUGGGUUCAAGCCCCACUACCA